UACGUAGGGUGCGAGCGUUGUCCGGAAUUAUUGGGCGUAAAGAGCUCGUAGGCGGUGUGUCACGUCGGGAGUGAAAACCUUGGGCUUAACUCAGGGCUUGCUUUCGAUACGGGCAGACUAGAGGUAUGCAGGGGAGAACGGAAUUCCUGGUGUAGCGGUGAAAUGCGCAGAUAUCAGGAGGAACACCGGUGGCGAAGGCGGUUCUCUGGGCAUGAUCUGACGCUGAGGAGCGAAAGUGUGGGGAGCGAACAGG
rnacentral:rRNA from 1 species